rnacentral:rRNA from 1 species
AUUGAACGCUGGCGGCAGGCCUAACACAUGCAAGUCGAGCGGAGUGGGGACGGGUGAGUAACACGUGGGUAACCUCCCAUCAGAGGGGAUAACACUUGGAAACAGGUGCUAAACCGAUACUGAUGGAUGGACCCGCGGUGCAUUAGCUAGUUGGUGAGGUAACGGCUCACCAAGGCCACGAUGCAUAGCCGACCUGGGAGGGUGCUCGGCCACACUGGGACGUAGACACGGCCCCGACUCCUACGGGAGGCAUCAGUAGGGAAUCUUCGGCAAUGGACGAAAGUCUGACCGAGCAACGCCGCGUGAGUGAAGAAGUUUUUCGGAUCGUAAAACUCUGUUGUUAGAGAAGCGGUAUCUAACCAGAAAGCCACGGCUAACUACGUGCCAGCCGCCGCGGUAAUUC